rnacentral:lncRNA from 1 species
CGCGGGGCUCGUCCCGAAGCGUGGGUCCCUCGGGAGCUGCUCGGAGAGGCCUGGGCAGGGACCACGCGCGACCUGUUCCUCGGAGGGCCUCCGCACCCUCCCACACAUUCCCUGCAGUGGCGCCGGCCGCGUCCUGAAUGGCACCUGGUCGGCUCUUUUGUUGUCAGCGCAGGAAGCCUUUUUGUUUUUUUCUUGCUUUUCCUUUGCAUAGAACUGUGCCACGAAGUCGUCGUGUCUGGCCCACGUUUGCAUCCCCUACAAAGGCGGCCUGAAAUUGAUGAAAGCGUUCAGUGUCCGUUAAACUCCAGCCUGCAUUAGAAAGAUCUGCAUCAAGCUGAAUGUGUUACCCAGAUGGAACUGGAACUCGAGAUUCUCCAAUCUCAGCCUCCCCGAGUGCAGAGAUUACAGGUGUGAGCCACCUCCCAGCUCCCGUGUAUCUUGUCUGGUCUUACUAUGCAGUUCAGGCUGGCCUUGAACGCACUAUGGAGCCCUGGCUGGCCUCCACCUCAGGUGAUCCUCCUGCCUCAGCCUCCAGAGUGCUGGUAUCAUAGGUGUGUGCCACCAUGCCCAGCUUUGGCCCAUGAAUGUACUCUUUCUAUCCAAGGCUCCCGUCCAAGAUCCCACAUUGCAUUUAGUGGUCCUGUCUCUGCUCUGGGACAGUUCCUGUCUUUAUUUUUCUUUUUUUUUUUUUUGGUACCGGGGAUGGAACUCGGGUCCUUGCGCUUGCACAGCAGGCAGUGAAACCACUGAGCUAAAUCCCCCCGCCCCUGUCUUUAUUUUUCUGUUUUCUUUUUCUCUGGUACCGGGGAUGGAACUCAGGACCUUGUGCUCGAGGGGCAGGC